UGCAAGUCGAACGAUGAUCCCAGCUUGCUGGGGGAUUAGUGGCGAACGGGUGAGUAACACGUGAGUAACCUGCCCUUGACUCUGGGAUAAGCCUGGGAAACUGGGUCUAAUACCGGAUACGACCAUCUGGCGCAUGUCAUGGUGGUGGAAAGCUUUUGUGGUUUUGGAUGGACUCGCGGCCUAUCAGCUUGUUGGUGGGGUAAUGGCCUACCAAGGCGACGACGGGUAGCCGGCCUGAGAGGGUGACCGGCCACACUGGGACUGAGACACGGCCCAGACUCCUACGGGAGGCAGCAGUGGGGAAUAUUGCACAAUGGGCGCAAGCCUGAUGCAGCGACGCCGCGUGAGGGAUGACGGCCUUCGGGUUGUAAACCUCUUUCAGUAGGGAAGAAGCCGUAAGGUGACGGUACCUGCAGAAGAAGCGCCGGCUAACUACGUGCCAGCAGCCGCGGUAAUACGUAGGGCGCAAGCGUUAUCCGGAAUUAUUGGGCGUAAAGAGCUCGUAGGCGGUUUGUCGCGUCUGCUGUGAAAGACCGGGGCUCAACUCCGGUUCUGCAGUGGGUACGGGCAGACUAGAGUGCAGUAGGGGAGACUGGAAUUCCUGGUGUAGCGGUGAAAUGCGCAGAUAUCAGGAGGAACACCGAUGGCGA
rnacentral:rRNA from 1 species